rnacentral:rRNA from 1 species
CGGUGAAAUGCGUAGAUAUUAGGAGGAACACCAGUUGCGAAGGCGGCUCUCUGGACUGUAACUGACGCUGAGGCACGAAAGCGUGGGGAGCAAACAGGAUUAGAUACCCGGUGAAAUGCGUAGAUAUUAGGAGGAACACCAGUUGCGAAGGCGGCUCUCUGGACUGUAACUGACGCUGAGGCACGAAAGCGUGGGGAGCAAACAGGA